UACGUAGGGUGCAAGCGUUGUCCGGAAUUAUUGGGCGUAAAGAGCUCGUAGGCGGUUUGUCGCGUCGGGAGUGAAAAUUCACAGCUUAACUGUGAACUUGCUUCCGAUACGGGCAGACUUGAGGUAUUCAGGGGAGAACGGAAUUCCUGGUGUAGCGGUGGAAUGCGCAGAUAUCAGGAGGAACACCGGUGGCGAAGGCGGGUCUCUGGGCAGUAACUGACGCUGAGGAGCGAAAGCGUGGGGAGCGAACAGG
rnacentral:rRNA from 1 species